AUUAGUGGAACGAGCCUUUUAGAGUUUAUUUCAGAAAUGUUUCAAGACCUCCGUGACACAAGAUGGCGACACGGACCUAAAAAAAAACUUUCACAUUGACUAUAGAUGGGCUAUCGAAGAAGAAACAAUGCAGAGUCCGGAACGGGACAGCUAAGAUCGUUGUAACAUGGCGUUCAAGCGUCUUAUAUCCGCUCUGCUCAACAAAGCGCAAGUGGUGGAAAAACUGUCCGAGUUGCGACCGAUACGACGGGCCGCACAGCUCACCGCUUAUGCCUUGAUGAAGGCAAAAAUUGCCGGAAAAGAAACGACCACCAAACUGCUGAAGUUCAAAACAGUUCGCCAGAUACGACAUGAGGCGUCGGGACUGCCUAAAAACGCCGGGGAGAUGGGGAGAAAAGCCGGAAGACUCCGGGAUUCUAUAGUAAAGGAUGUGAAAGACGGGAUAAGGGACACUUCGAGACAAGUUAAAGACAAAUGAUGGUGUGUUUAACAACAAACCAAAUAGUAUAUUUUAAGGCCUAAAUGACGGCUAUCAUAAUGGUCUUCAGCUCUCAAAAACUCUAUUCUGACUAAUAUUCCAAAUAAAAGCCCGCAUUGCAAAACACUGCAAUGUGUAGAAUUCAUUCAAAAACAUUAAAAUGUUAAAUCAA